GAUGAACGCUGGCGGCGUGCUUAACACAUGCAAGUCGAGCGAAGCAUAAGAGAGGAAGUUUUAAAUGGAAUCUAUUAUGACUGAGCGGCGGACGGGUGAGUAACGCGUGGGGAACCUGCCCUAUACAGGGGGAUAACAGUUAGAAAUGACUGCUAAUACCGCAUAAGCGCACGGAGCCGCAUGGCGCUGUGUGAAAAACGAUAGUGGUAUGGGAGGGACCCGCGUCUGAUUAGGUAGUUGGUGGGGUAACGGCCCACCAAGCCGACGAUCAGUAGCCGACCUGAGAGGGUGACCGGCCACAUUGGGACUGAGACACGGCCCAA
rnacentral:rRNA from 1 species